rnacentral:rRNA from 1 species
CCUACGGGAGGCUGCAGUGGGGAAUAUUGGACAAUGGGGGCAACCCUGAUCCAGCCAUGCCGCGUGUGUGAAGAAGGCCCUCGGGUUGUAAAACACUUUCAGUGAGGAAGAACGCCUGGUGGUUAAUACCCAUCAGGAAAGACAUCACUCACAGAAGAAGCACCGGCUAACUCCGUGCUAGCAGCCGCGGUAAUACGGAGGGUGCGAGCGUUAAUCGGAAUUACUGGGCGUAAAGCGCGCGUAGGUGGCUUGAUAAGCCGGUUGUGAAAGCCCCGGGCUCAACCUGGGAACGGCAUCCGGAACUGUCAAGCUAGAGUGCAGGAGAGGAAGGUAGAAUUCCCGGUGUAGCGGUGAAAUGCGUAGAGAUCGGGAGGAAUACCAGUGGCGAAGGCGGCCUUCUGGACUGACACUGACACUGAGGUGCGAAAGCGUGGGUAGCAAACAGGAUUAGAUACCCUGGUAGUC